rnacentral:snRNA from 1 species
GUGCUAGCUUCCAGCACAUAUACUAAAAUUGGAAUGAUACAGAAAGAUUAGCAUGGCUCUUGCACAAGGAUGACACACAAAUUCAUGAAGCAUUCCAUAUUUUC